GGGCUUGACAUCCCACGAACCUGCCUGAAAGGGUGGGGUGCCCGCAAGGGAGCGUGGAGACGGGUGGUGCAUGGCUGUCGUCAGCUCGUGUCGUGAGAUGUUGGGUUAAGUCCCGCAACGAGCGCAACCCUCACCCCUAGUUGCGACCGGGUUAUGCCGAGCACUCGAGGGGAACUGCCCCGGUCAACGGGGAGGAAGGCGGGGAUGACGUCAAGUCAUCAUGCUCCUUACGUCCUGGGCUACACACGUGCUACAAUGGCCGGUACAAAGGGAUGCCACACCGCGAGGUAGAGCUAAACCCAAAAAGCCGGUCUAAGUUCAGAUUGGAGUCUGCAACUCGACUCCAUUAAGGAGGAAUCGCUAGUAAUCGCGCAUCAGCACGGCGCGGUGAAUACGUUCCCGGGCCUUGUACACACCGCCCGUCACAUCACGAAAGUCGGCUGUACUCGAAGUCGCUGAG
rnacentral:rRNA from 1 species